AUGCACGCUGGCGGCGUGCCUCAUACCUGCAAGUCGCGCGAACAGACGAGGAGCUUGCUCCUCUGACGUUAGCGGCGGACGGGUGAGUAACACGUGGAUAACCUACCUAUAAGACUGGGAUAACUUCGGGAAACCGGAGCUAAUACCGGAUAAUAUAUUGAACCGCAUGGUUCAAUAGUGAAAGACGGUUUUGCUGUCACUUAUAGAUGGAUCCGCGCCGCAUUAGCUAGUUGGUAAGGUAACGGCUUACCAAGGCAACGAUGCGUAGCCGACCUGAGAGGGUGAUCGGCCACACUGGAACUGAGACACGGUCCAGACUCCUACGGGAGGCAGCAGUAGGGAAUCUUCCGCAAUGGGCGAAAGCCUGACGGAGCAACGCCGCGUGAGUGAUGAAGGUCUUCGGAUCGUAAAACUCUGUUAUUAGGGAAGAACAAAUGUGUAAGUAACUAUGCACGUCUUGACGGUACCUAAUCAGAAAGCCACGGCUAACUACGUG
rnacentral:rRNA from 1 species